rnacentral:lncRNA from 1 species
UGAUAGUUUACUUGACACUGAUUCCAAAAAUAUAUGGUUCUAUAUACUUUUACAUUGAUUUAGUACAAAAAAAUAGCUACUUCCGGUUUACAAAAGGUCACUUCCGGUUGUGUUUUUUUAAGGUCACAAUGCUUACAACUUAAUGCAAAAAGUCCCAUGGCUUUAUCAUGUGUACAUAUGAGGUAAAAGCAAAGGUCAAAAUCUAGAACGUUUAAUUAGCAUAUGACCUUGAGCUCAAUUUCAAGGUCAUAAACCAAGGACCUCAAAUCAAAAGACUCUAGUCCUCUACUUUAUAUUGUUAAAGAGUUAUAUUACCAUACGUAUGAUAUUAGAUAUAAAAAGGGGGAAAACUCGCGUCAAAUGUCUAAGUACCCUUUCGACUAAAAUUUAUGUGUUACGACAUGUCG